GACGAACGCUGACGGUGUGCUUUAGACAUGCAAGUCGAACGAGAAAGCCCUUCGGGUUAGUAAAGUGGCGAACGGGUGAGUAACACGUGGGCAAUCUGCCCCUCGCAGGGGGACGAACCGGAGGAAACUCCGGCUAAUACCCCGUAAGUUCAAAGGGAGGGCAUCUCUCUUCGAAGAAAGGUAGCUUCGGCCAUCCGGCGAGGGAUGAGCCCGCGGUGCAUUAGCUAGUUGGUGGGGUAACGGCCUACCAAGGCGACGAUGCAUAGCUGGUCUGAGAGGAUGAUCAGCCACACUGGGACUGAGACACGGCCCAGACUCCUACGGGAGGCAGC
rnacentral:rRNA from 1 species